rnacentral:rRNA from 1 species
AGAGUUUGAUCAUGGCUCAGGAUGAACGCUGGCGGCGUGCUUAACACAUGCAAGUCGAACGAACCUUCGGGUUAGUGGCGGACGGGUGAGUAACGCGUGGGAAUCUGCCCUCAGGAGGGGGAUAACGACUGGAAACGGUCGCUAAUACCCCAUAUGCCGAGAGGUGAAAGGAAUUUCGCCUGAGGAUGAGCCCGCGUCUGAUUAGCUAGUUGGUGAGGUAAGAGCUCACCAAGGCGACGAUCAGUAGCUGGUCUGAGAGGAUGAUCAGCCACACUGGGACUGAGACACGGCCCAGACUCCUACGGGAGGCAGCAGUGGGGAAUUUUCCGCAAUGGGCGAAAGCCUGACGGAGCAACGCCGCGUGAGGGAUGAAGGCCUCUGGGCUGUAAACCUCUUUUCUCAAGGAAGAAGAUCUGACGGUACUUGAGGAAUAAGCCACGGCUAAUUCCGUGCCAGCAGCCGCGGUAAUACGGGAGUGGCAAGCGUUAUCCGGAAUCAUUGGGCGUAAAGCGUCCGCAGGUGGCUUUGUAAAUCUGCCGUUAAAGCGUGGAGCUUAACUCCAUUUCAGCGGUGGAAACUACAAGGCUUGAGUGUGGUAGGGGCAGAGGGAAUUCCCGGUGUAGCGGUGAAAUGCGUAGAUAUCGGGAAGAACACCAGUGGCGAAGGCGCUCUGCUGGGCCAUAACUGACACUCAUGGACGAAAGCCAGGGGAGCGAAAGGGAUUAGAUACCCCUGUAGUCCUGGCCGUAAACGAUGAACACUAGGCGUCGGGGGAAUCGACCCCCUCGGUGUCGUAGCCAACGCGUUAAGUGUUCCGCCUGGGGAGUACGCACGCAAGUGUGAAACUCAAAGGAAUUGACGGGGGCCCGCACAAGCGGUGGAGUAUGUGGUUUAAUUCGAUGCAACGCGAAGAACCUUACCAGGGUUUGACAUCCUGCGGACCUCUGAGAAAUCGGGGGGUGCCUUCGGGAACGCAGUGACAGGUGGUGCAUGGCUGUCGUCAACUCGUGUCGUGAGAUGUUGGGUUAAGUCCCGCAACGAGCGCAACCCACGUCUUUAGUUGCCAGCAUUCAGUUGGGCACUCUAGAGAGACCGCCGGUGAUAAACCGGAGGAAGGUGUGGAUGACGUCAAGUCAUCAUGCCCCUUACAUCCUGGGCUACACACGUACUACAAUGCUACGGACAAAGGGCAGCAAGCUCGCGAGAGCAAGCAAAUCCCAUAAACCGUGGCUCAGUUCAGAUCGUAGGCUGCAACUCGCCUACGUGAAGGAGGAAUCGCUAGUAAUCGCAGGUCAGCAUACUGCGGUGAAUACGUUCCCGGGCCUUGUACACACCGCCCGUCACACCAUGGAAGUUAGCCACGCCCGAAGUCGUUACUCCAACCCUUGUGGAGGAGGAUGCCGAAGGUGGGGCUGAUGACUGGGGUGAAGUCGUAACAAGGUAACC